rnacentral:sRNA from 1 species
CUUAAUGAUAGUUCUAGAGUAGCUAACUGGAACUUGAUAUUAGAUAAUAGGUAUGUCCACCAUAGGUACUUGUUAUUUGAACUAUCAUAGAUGAGCCUAGGCAUUUAAGAAAGAACAUGUAGGCUCAUAGAAGGGCUCUGGUUUAGAUACUAGGUGAACUAAUCAAACUUGAUAAUAAUGCAUACUUUAGUAUAGGAUUUCUCGGCUUCUCCGGUUAUCUUAACUCUAAGUAUAGAGAGUUUCGCGGAACACCACCGGUUACUCUAAAAUCAUAGUUUGAGCUCAAGAAUGGUUCGAUAACAACCUACCUAUUUCUAGAUAUACUAUCAUCUAUUUCCUGAGAAUACCCUAAGCCUGACGCUUUUAAUAUCUUGUUUCACAACCAUCCAAUCGUCUAUUGCUUACUUUUGUUUCUCUUUAGAUUCAUUACUGUUUUACGUAGCUUAAUUCAAAACUUUAGUCUAUUGCGUGUUCCGAGAGCUUUGUGAAUUCGAUCCCUAAGUGCUGCAACUGACCUCUUUAUUUGAGAGAGUGGUCUUACGAUUAAUUUAACC